rnacentral:rRNA from 1 species
GCAGUCGAACGGCAGCACGGGGGCAACCCUGGUGGCGAGUGGCGAACGGGUGAGUAAUACAUCGGAACGUGUCCUGGAGUGGGGGAUAGCCCGGCGAAAGCCGGAUUAAUACCGCAUACGCUCUAAGGAGGAAAGGGGGGGAUCUUAGGACCUCUCGCUCAAGGGGCGGCCGAUGGCAGAUUAGCUAGUUGGUGGGGUAAAGGCCUACCAAGGCGACGAUCUGUAGCUGGUCUGAGAGGACGACCAGCCACACUGGGACUGAGACACGGCCCAGACUCCUACGGGAGGCAGCAGUGGGGAAUUUUGGACAAUGGGCGCAAGCCUGAUCCAGCAAUGCCGCGUGUGUGAAGAAGGCCUUCGGGUUGUAAAGCACUUUUGUCCGGAAAGAAAACCCCUGCCCUAAUACGGCGGGGGGAUGACGGUACCGGAAGAAUAAGCACCGGCUAACUACGUGCCAGCAGCCGCGGUAAUACGUAGGGUGCAAGCGUUAAUCGGAAUUACUGGGCGUAAAGCGUGCGCAGGCGGUUCGUUAAGACAGAUGUGAAAUCCCCGGGCUUAACCUGGGAACUGCAUUUGUGACUGGCGGGCUAGAGUAUGGCAGAGGGGGGUAGAAUUCCACGUGUAGCAGUGAAAUGCGUAGAGAUGUGGAGGAAUACCGAUGGCGAAGGCAGCCCCCUGGGCCAAUACUGACGCUCAUGCACGAAAGCGUGGGGAGCAAACAGGAUUAGAUACCCUGGUAGUCCACGCCCUAAACGAUGUCAACUAGUUGUCGGGGUCUUCAUUGACUUGGUAACGUAGCUAACGCGUGAAGUUGACCGCCUGGGGAGUACGGUCGCAGAUAAACUC